CGAAGAUGUAGCCGACCCAUUCUGGCAAGCCGUGUGCCCUCUGGAUAUGCAGUUGUUCGCCAUGGUCAACAAUCUUCUUCUCCUUCGUUCGUACUUUCACUUUCCUGACCACGAAUACAAGCGGUACCCAUGCUCAGGACUCUGAGAAGCUGGAGGGACCCCACAAACCUCAAGCAUUGAGGAUACAACUUUUAACCAAGAACCAGGCAACAUGAUGUGCAUGUAUCACGUUCGCUGUGAUUGCAUCGUUUCAGGGUACACUGACAACAUACUAGUACUAGGAACUAGUCCUUGAUUAGCAGCAGUGGUCUGAAUUAUUGCCUGGCCGCUAUUCAUAUAAUCCUUUGGUGCUUACUCAUCGCCUUGUUCUGUCUCUAAAAUGGCGUAUGGGUGUUCUGAGGCUUGUAAUAUUUGCUCAAGCCGCGCAUUGGCAUUGGUGUAUGUCGGUAAAUGCCAGCCACUGCUGCCUAGCUCAACAUGUUUUGUAUGAUGUAGAAUGCGCUCUGUGUAUCUACAAUCGAGUGACCUGCUUGUGUGGGCUAACUGUAAUUACACCAACAGUUGCACUAGUAUGUGCACUGUGCUGGCACAGUGUAUCAUACUCAGUCUUGUCACUUCUUCUCCCACGUUUACUGUAUUGUUUAAUUCACUGUACACAUCUUGCCCAGCUCCUCUAAGGCCACACAGAAUUAGUUUGUUGUUUUGGGCCACUACACUCAGCUGGUGUAAGGUUGGUCUGCUUCUCUCUUCCUUCUCUUCGACGUGUCCAGCCAAUCAUUCAUGUCAAGCUUUGCAUAACUUAGAUCACUGUAUAUACAGUCACCUGGCUGGAAACGUCCAUGGCUGCAAAAUCCCAUCUUUCUUGAGGGACCCCAUUUUAUAGAGUGGACGACAUUCACUUUCCUGAUAGACUCACCUCAGAUGUUGGUACACUGUAUUUUACCCAUCCCUGAUUUGUACAUGCACCACUUUUUAGGCAACUCCGAACAGUGAGAAUGUCUGCUGUGGAUAGUUCUCAUGCUUUUAAACUCAUUCGUAAACAAGUACGGUUUUAUACCACCAAAAUGUAGUUCAUUACAAGUCGUCGAUUAUGA